rnacentral:rRNA from 1 species
CCUACGGGGGGCAGCAGUCGGGAAUAUUGUGCAAUGGAGGAAACUCUGACACAGUGACGCCGCGUAUGGGAAGAAGGUUUUCGGAUUGUAAACCAUUGUUGGAGGGGAAGAAACAAGACAGUACCCUCAAAGAAAGCUCCGGCUAACUACGUGCCAGCAGCCGCGGUAAUACGUAGGGAGCGAGCGUUAUCCGGAUUUAUUGGGUGUAAAGGGUGCGUAGACGGGAAUUUAAGUUAGUUGUGAAAUCCCUCGGCUUAACUGAGGAACUGCAACUAAAACUGAAUUUCUUGAGUGCGGGAGAGGAAAGUGGAAUUCCUAGUGUAGCGGUGAAAUGCGUAGAUAUUAGGAGGAACACCAGUGGCGAAGGCGACUUUCUGGACCGUAACUGACGUUGAGGCACGAAAGUGUGGGGAGCAAACAGGAUUAGAUACCCCAGU